GUGAGGAAUAUUGGUCAAUGGGCGGGAGCCUGAACCAGCCAAGUCGCGUGAAGGAAGAAGGAUCUAUGGUUCGUAAACUUCUUUUGCAGGGGAAUAAAGUGCAGGACGUGUCCUGUUUUGUAUGUACCCUGAGAAUAAGGAUCGGCUAACUCCGUGCCAGCAGCCGCGGUAAUACGGAGGAUCCGAGCGUUAUCCGGAUUUAUUGGGUUUAAAGGGUGCGUAGGUGGUUUGAUAAGUCAGCGGUGAAAGUUUGCAGCUUAACUGUAAAAAUGCCGUUGAAACUGUCGGACUUGAGUGUAAAUGAGGUAGGCGGAAUGCGUGGUGUAGCGGUGAAAUGCAUAGAUAUCACGCAGAACUCCGAUUGCGAAGGCAGCUUCUUGGUCCAUACCUGACGCUGAAACACGAAAGCGUGGGGAGCAAACAGGAUUAGAUACCCCGGUAGUCC
rnacentral:rRNA from 1 species